UACGUAGGAGGCGAGCGUUGUCCGGAGUUACUGGGCGUAAAGGGUGCGCAGGCGGCGGUUCGCGUGGCGAGAUGAAAUCUCCUGCUUACCUGGGAGGAUGGUCGCCAGACGGGAUCGCUUGAGGGUCGGAGAGGGGCGUGGAAUUCCGGGUGGAGCGGUGAAAUGCGUAGAGAUCCGGAGGAACACCGACGGCGUAGGCAGCGCCCUGGACGACACCUGACGCUGACG
rnacentral:rRNA from 1 species